AUUAAGUGAGACAGUUUAGUGAAAACAAGUAAAUGAAAAAUAAUCAAUGCUGUCUCAGAGUUUGGUACAUGUUUUCAGUAUUUGGAUGCAUGUUCUCCAUCACACACUAAAAAGGUUUAUAUACAGCGUUAAUAACAUGCACAGACAUCAUCACUUCAUGGAUCUUCUUUAUUUCCUGUUAAUACUCUCAUCUCUGGCUCAUCUCAGAUUGUAACAAAAAUUCCAACUAUGGCGCAUAUUUGAAUUUAUGGUAAGUAAAGUUAGAAGUUCAUCAUCUUCAGCUUUUCAUACUGUUAUACUAUUUUUUGCCAAUUUUCCUUUAUUUUGUCUUCCA